CCUACGGGAGGCAGCAGUGAGGAAUAUUGGUCAAUGGCCGGAAGGCUGAACCAGCCAUGCCGCGUGAAGGUCAGUGCCCUAUGGGCGUUAAACUUCUUUUGUGCGGGAGCAAUAAUGGUCACGUGUGGCCAGACGAGAGUACCGUACGAAUAAGCAUCGGCUAACUCCGUGCCAGCAGCCGCGGUAAUACGGGGGAUGCAAGCGGUAUCCGGAUUUAUUGGGUUUAAAGGGUGCGUAGGCUGUGAGGUAAGUCAGCGGUGAAAUGCCCCCGCUCAACGGGGUGAAGUGCCAUUGAUACUGCCUGGCUGGAAUGCGGAUGCGGUGGGAGGAAUGUGUGGUGUAGCGGUGAAAUGCAUAGAUAUCACACAGAACACCGAUUGCGAAGGCAUCUCACGAAUCCGCGAUUGACGCUGAUGCACGAAAGCGUGGGUAUCAAACAGGAUUAGAUACCCUAGUAGUC
rnacentral:rRNA from 1 species